rnacentral:rRNA from 1 species
GUAUGUGAUCGUCUCUCGCAUAUCAAUAAGCGGAGGAAAAGAAACUAACAAGGAUUCCCCUAGUAACGGCGAGUGAAGCGGGAAGAGCUCAAAUUUGAAAUCUUAAAGGGUUUCCCUUUACGAAUUGUAGUUUAAAGAAGUGUUUUCUGUUGAGGUUUUGGUAAAGUUCUUUGGAAUAGGACAUCAUAGAGGGUGAGAAUCCCGUAUUUGACCUUUACUUUCAACUUUGUGAUACACUUUCAAAGAGUCGGAUUGUUUGGGAAUGCAGUCCAAAAUGGGUGGUAAAUUUCAUCUAAAGCUAAAUAUUGGCGAGAGACCGAUAGCGAACAAGUACCGUGAGGGAAAGAUGAAAAGAACUUUGAAAAGAGAGUUAAACAGUACGUGAAAUUGUCAAAAGGGAAGCGUUUGACACCAGUGUUGUUUUUCUGAAAAUCAAUUAAAGAACUGUUUAUGCUAAGUUGUUUAGACUUUAUCAGCUAACUGUUUAGUUUUGAGCUUUUCUUUAAUGCACUUUUCAGUUAACAAGUCAACAUCAAUUUCUUUUGCUGUAAAAAAGCUUGAGGAAGGUGGCUUGAGAUUCGUCUUAAGUGUUUAUAGCCUCUUGCCUAUGCAGUCGGAGAGAUUGAGGUCUGCAGCGUAGAUCCUUCGGGGCUAAAUGCAUUUGUGCUAAGUUAUAACAUUUUAUAGACAACUUGUUGACUAUGAUUUGUCUUGUAGCUUACUCGCUUAUGUUAUUUUACCUACGCUUAGGAUGUUGAAGUCAUCGUAUCGCGC